rnacentral:rRNA from 1 species
UUCGGAUCGUAAAACUCUGUUAUCAGGGAAGAACAAAUGUGUAAGUAACUGUGCACAUCUUGACGGUACCUGAUCAGAAAGCCACGGCUAACUACGUGCCAGCAGCCGCGGUAAUACGUAGGUGGCAAGCGUUAUCCGGAAUUAUUGGGCGUAAAGCGCGCGUAGGCGGUUUUUUAAGUCUGAUGUGAAAGCCCACGGCUCAACCGUGGAGGGUCAUUGGAAACUGGAAAACUUGAGUGCAGAAGAGGAAAGUGGAAUUCCAUGUGUAGCGGUGAAAUGCGCAGAGAUAUGGAGGAACACCAGUGGCGAAGGCGACUUUCUGGUCUGUAACUGACGCUGAUGUGCGAAAGCGUGGGGAUCAAACAGGAUUAGAUACCCUGGUAGUCCACGCCGUAAACGAUGAGUGCUAAGUGUUAGGGGGUUUCCGCCCCUUAGUGCUGCAGCUAACGCAUAAGCACUCCGCCU